rnacentral:rRNA from 1 species
GACGAACGCUGGCGGCGUGCUUAACACAUGCAAGUCGAACGGAAAGGCCCUGCUUUUGUGGGGUGCUCGAGUGGCGAACGGGCGAGUAACACGUGAGUAACCUGCCCUUGACUUUGGGAUAACUUCAGGAAACUGGGGCGAAUACCGGAUAGGAGCUCCUGCUGCAUGGUGGGGGUUGGAAAGUUUCGGCGGUUGGGGAUGGACUCGCGGCUUAUCAGCUUGUUGGUGGGGUAGUGGUUUACCAAGGCUUUGACGGGUAGCCGGCCUGAGAGGGUGACCGGCCACCUUGGGACUGAGAUACGGCCCAGAAUCCUAUGGGAGGCAGCAGUGGGGAACAUUGCAGAAUGGGCGGACGCCUGAUGCAGCAACGCCGCGUGCGGGAUGACGGCCUUCGGGUUGUAAACCGCUUUCGCCUGUGACGAAGCGUGAGUGACGGUAAUGGGUAAAGAAGCACCGGCUAACUACGUG